rnacentral:rRNA from 1 species
CCCUUAGAGUUUGAUCCUGGCUCAGAACGAACGUUGGCGGCGUGGAUUAGGCAUGCAAGUCGAACGAAUCCCGGAGGGCUUGCUCUCCGGGGGAAGUGGCGAAAGGGGCAGUAAGGCGUGGGUAACCUACCCCAGGGACCGGGAUAGCCAUCCUAACGGGUGGGUAAUACCGGGCGUGGUGACCGUGGGGCAUCCUGUGGUCACGAAAGGAAUUUCGCCCUGGGAGGGGCUCACGUGGUAUUAGCUUGUUGGUGGGGUAACGGCCCACCAAGGCCAAGAUGCCUAGCGGGUGUGAGAGCACGACCCGCGCCACUGGCACUGCGACACUGGCCAGACUCCUACGGGAGGCUGCAGUCGAGGAUCUUCGGCAAUGGGCGCAAGCCUGACCGAGCGACGCCGCGUGUGCGAUGAAGGCCUUCGGGUUGUAAAGCACUGUCGAGGGGGAGGAAAGCCGGGUAACCGGUCUGACCUAGCCCUGGAGGAAGCACGGGCUAAGUUCGUGCCAGCAGCCGCGGUAAGACGAACCGUGCGAACGUUGUUCGGAUUCACUGGGCUUAAAGGGCGCGUAGGCGGGCGACCAAGUCAGGGGUGAAAUCUUUCGGCCCAACCGGAAAAGUGCCCCUGAUACUGGCCGCCUCGAGGGGGGGUAGGGGCAUGCGGAACUUCCGGUGGAGCGGUGAAAUGCGUAGAUAUCGGAAGGAACGCCGGUGGCGAAAGCGGCGUGCUGGACCCCUUCUGACGCUGAGGCGCGAAAGCCAGGGGAGCAAACGGG